UGCAGCUUUCCAUAUUGGAAAGUGGCGCCUUUCAUCCGCCAAUGAGGUGGUGAGGGCGGCUUGUGUGUAUCAUGACGUCACGCCAGCGGUCACGGCCCACGGGACAAGCGCUCAGCUGUCAGGCAGCAGCAGGUGUCAUGGAGGGGCCCUGGUGGUGGACUGGUGGUAGAAAUGUUUACGUUUUGUUCUUCAUUGGACAAACAAUGUGAUGUGGACGUGUUGUGGUGCCUUGACGUGGGCGUCGCUGCCGUGAGCAGGAUGGAAGGAGCAAGGAAGGGACGUCAGCUGCUGGCUGAGGCUGCCGGACCACUUGUCACCACUCCCUUCCCUUUACUUUGACGCUCAGUUGGUGGCCCAAAGGAGGAAAAUGGAAGCAUGGACAGUUAACCAUCGUCAACUGUCGUAUAGAAGUUCUGGAUGUGGACAGCAGCACAGUGUCAUCCAUCAGGACUAACACAUGGAGACGGGCAAGGCAUCCAUCAGCGCCACAGUUUUGCUUGAUAAGAGUUAUUAAAUCAUUAACAAAAAUAACAAACAGUAAGCAAGAUGAGGAGCAGCCCUGAUGUACAACAGUCGAGGCAGUGACAAUUGCUACACCAACUAGCUAUACAUUGUGUUAACUUGUACACAGUGACUAUAGCGAGCAACAUUACCAUCCCACAACCCAGUCUCUUCAAAAUACAAAAUAAUGUGUUUCUUGAUUGUGUUAAGAUAUGGAGAAACAGACCAAGG